UGACUCAAUCGGCGAGGAUACCCGCUGAACUUAAGCAUAUCAAUAAGCGGAGGA
rnacentral:rRNA from 1 species